rnacentral:rRNA from 1 species
CAAUAGCGUAUAUUAAAGUUGUUGCAGUUAAAAAGCUCGUAGUUGGAUUUCUGGUGGGAGCGAUCGGUCUGGCGCUUAGCGCGAGUACUUGCAUCGUCUCCGGCCAUCCUUGGGGAGAGUCUGUCUGGCAUUAGGUUGUCGGGCAGAGGAUCCUCAUCGUUUACUGUGAAAAAAUUAGAGUGUUCAAAGCAGGCUUAUGCCGUUGAAUAUAUUAGCAUGGAAUAAUAAGAUAGGACUUUGGUACUAUUUUGUUGGUUUGCGCACCAAAGUAAUGAUUAAUAGGGACAGUUGGGGGUAUUCGUAUUCCGUUGUCAGAGGUGGAAUUCUUGGAUUUACGGAAGACGAACUACUGCGAAAGCAUUUACCAAGGAUGUUUUCAUUAA